rnacentral:lncRNA from 1 species
CUGCAAGAACAAUUUUUCUAAGUCCAAAUUCACUAUGUGGCCUAUCCAAAACUCACCCGAGCCCUCAAUGCUCCAAACCAACCGUGCACGCAAGUCUAAAAAUAUCAUAUGAAUUUUCUCGUGUAAUCAGAUCAUCAAAAUAACAUUAGCAACUACAAAUUCAACCUCAAAUUCACGAAAUUCCUUAAAAACAUUGAAAUUUCUAUUUUCUUAAC